rnacentral:rRNA from 1 species
GAUGAACGCUGGCGGCGUGCCUAAUACAUGCAAGUCGAGAGAACAGACGAGGAGCUUGCUCCUCUGACGUUAGCGGCGGACGGGAGAGUAACACGUGGAUAAACUACCUAUAAGACUGGGAUCACUUCGGGAAACCGGAGCUAAUACCGUACAAUAUAUUGAACCGCAUGGUUCAAUAGUGAAAGACGGUUUUGCUGUCACUUAUAGAUGGAUCCGCGCCGCAUUAGCUAGUUGGUAAGGUGACGGCUUACCAAGGCAACGAUCCGUAGCCGACCUGAGAGUAUGAUCAGCUAUUCUGGAACUGAGACACGGUCCAGACACCUACUACAGGCCGCAGUAGAGUAUCGUCCACGAUAGCCGAAGGCAGUACGCACAAACAGCGCGCGGGUUGUGAAGGUCUUCGGAUAGUAACACUCUGUUACUCGGGAAGAACAAAUGUGUAAGUAACUAUGCACUUCUUGACAGUACCUAAGCGGAAAGCCACGGCUAAAUCCGUG